rnacentral:SRP_RNA from 1 species
UGCCAGGUUCAUGCGAACGGCCGCCGCCCAACUCCGCCAGGUCCGGAAGGAAGCAACGGCAAGCGUCCGGCCGCUGCGCCGUGAUCUGCCUGGCGGGG